rnacentral:rRNA from 1 species
CCUACGGGAGGCAGCAGUGAGGAAUAUUGGUCAAUGGGCGGGAGCCUGAACCAGCCAUGCCGCGUGAAGGCGAGUGCCCUACGGGUGUUAAACUUCUUUUGUGCGGGAGCAAUAAGGGCCACGCGCGGCCCGAUGAGAGUACCGUACGUAUAUGCCUCGGCGAACUCCGUGCCAGCAGCCGCGGUCAUACGGGGGAUGCGAGCGUUGUCCGGAUUGAUUGGGUUUAAAGGGUGGGUAGGCGGGGCGUCAGGUCAGCGGUGAAAUACCGGGGCUCAACCCCGGGACUGCUGUUGAAACCGGAGCGAUAGAAUACCGAUGCCGUCGGAGGAAUGUGUGGUGUAGCGGUGAAAUGCAUAGAUAUCACACAGAACACCGAUUGCGAAGGCGUCUGGCGGGUCGAAGAUUGACGCUGAUGCACGAAAGCGUGGGUAUCGAACAGGAUUAGAUACCCGGGUAGUC